rnacentral:rRNA from 1 species
UACGUAGGGGGCAAGCGUUGUCCGGAAUUAUUGGGCGUAAAGAGCGUGUAGGCGGCCAGAUAAGUCCGCUGUGAAAUCUCGAGGCUCAACUUCGAGCUGUCGGUGGAAACUAUCUGGCUAGAGUCCGGAAGAGGAGAAUGGAAUUCCUGGUGUAGCGGUGAAAUGCGCAGAUAUCAGGAGGAACACCGAUGGCGAAGGCAGGUCUCUGGACAGUUCCUGACACUGAGGCACGAAGGCCAGGGGAGCAAACGGG